rnacentral:rRNA from 1 species
CCCGGAUGUUAGCGGCGGACGGGUGAGUAACACGUGGGUAACCUGCCUGUAAGACUGGGAUAACUCCGGGAAACCGGAGCUAAUACCGGAUAGUUCCUUGAACCGCAUGGUUCAAGGAUGAAAGACGGUUUCGGCUGUCACUUACAGAUGGACCCGCGGCGCAUUAGCUAGUUGGUGGGGUAAUGGCUCACCAAGGCGACGAUGCGUAGCCGACCUGAGAGGGUGAUCGGCCACACUGGGACUGAGACACGGCCCAGACUCCUACGGGAGGCAGCAGUAGGGAAUCUUCCGCAAUGGACGAAAGUCUGACGGAGCAACGCCGCGUGAGUGAUGAAGGUUUUCGGAUCGUAAAGCUCUGUUGUUAGGGAAGAACAAGUGCGAGAGUAACUGCUCGCACCUUGACGGUACCUAACCAGAAAGCCACGGCUAACUACGUGCCAGCAGCCGCGGUAAUACGUAGGUGGCAAGCGUUGUCCGGAAAUUAUUGGGCGUAAAGGGCUCGCAGGCGGUUUCUUAAGUCUGAUGUGAAAGCCCCCGGCUCAACCGGGGAGGGUCAUUGGAAACUGGGAAACUUGAGUGCAGAAGAGGAGAGUGGAAUUCCACGUGUAGCGGUGAAAUGCGUAGAGAUGUGGAGGAACACCAGUGGCGAAGGCGACUCUCUGGUCUGUAACUGACGCUGAGGAGCGAAAGCGUGGGGAGCGAACAGGAUUAGAUACCCUGGUAGUCCACGCCGUAAACGAUGAGUGCUAAGUGUUAGGGGGUUUCCGCCCCUUAGUGCUGCAGCUAACGCAUUAAGCACUCCGCCUGGGGAGUACGGUCGCAAGACUGAAACUCAAAGGAAUUGACGGGGGCCCGCACAAGCGGUGGAGCAUGUGGUUUAAUUCGAAGCAACGCGAAGAACCUUACCAGGUCUUGACAUCCUCUGACAACCCUAGAGAUAGGGCUUUCCCUUCGGGGACAGAGUGACAGGUGGUGCAUGGUUGUCGUCAGCUCGUGUCGUGAGAUGUUGGGUUAAGUCCCGCAACGAGCGCAACCCUUGAUCUUAGUUGCCAGCAUUCAGUUGGGCACUCUAAGGUGACUGCCGGUGACAAACCGGAGGAAGGUGGGGAUGACGUCAAAUCAUCAUGCCCCUUAUGACCUGGGCUACACACGUGCUACAAUGGACAGAACAAAGGGCUGCAAGACCGCAAGGUUUAGCCAAUCCCAUAAAUCUGUUCUCAGUUCGGAUCGCAGUCUGCAACUCGA